CCUUUUCAGGAGACAUGUGAUGCCGGCACAGAGAAUGUCAGCGGGGAUAGUUGUCGUAACAACUGAGAGACGUCUGUGCCGCUGCCAUAUUGCAGCCAGACACGCUCCGGAUCACAGACAGACAUGUUAUCUGUCCACUGUACAAACCCCAAAAAACAAUGCAUUUCCUGGCUGGGAUCUGAUAUUGUGCCUACAACACAUCCACUGACAUCAGAGCAAUAGUUCCUCAGUAUUGGCUGAGGCUGACUGCAAGGUCUCUUCUCUUCUAACAGACAUGCUAUCCCUCCAAUGUCCAAGCCCAGAAAAACAAGGCUAUAGUUCCU